rnacentral:rRNA from 1 species
CCUACGGGUGGCAGCAGUGGGGAAUAUUGGUCAAUGGAGGAAACUCUGACCCAGCAACGCCGCGUGAAGGAUGACGGUUUUCGGAUUUUUCACUUCUGUCGCUCAGGAUGAAGAAUGACGUUACCUCGUAAGAAAGCCCCGGCAAACUACGUGCCAGCAGCCGCGGUAAUACGUAGGGGGCGAGCGUUGUCCGGAAUGACUGGGCGUAAAGGGAUUGUAUGCGGCAUAUUAAGUUAUGUGUGAAAGGCCGCGGGCUAAACGCCGAAUUGCACAUAAAACUGGUAAGCUGGAGUGCAGGAGAGGUAAGUGGAAUUCGCGGUGUAGCGGUGGAAUGCGUAGAUAUCGCGCAGAACACCAGAGGCGAAGGCGACUUACUGGACUGUAACUGACGCUGAGGCUCGAAAGCGUGGGGAGCGAACAGGAUUAGAUACCCCUGUAGUC